UACAGAGGGUGCGAGCGUUAAUCGGAAUUACUGGGCGUAAAGGGUGCGUAGGUGGUUUAUUCAGUCAGAUGUGAAAACCCUGGGCUUAACCUAGGAACUGCAUUUGAAACUAAUAAACUAGAGUGCGGAAGAGGGAAGUGGAAUUUCCGGUGUAGCGGUGAAAUGCGUAGAUAUCGGAAGGAACACCAGUGGCGAAGGCGACUUCCUGGUCCGUUACUGACACUGAGGCACGAAAGCGUGGGGAGCAAACAGG
rnacentral:rRNA from 1 species